GGACGAACGCUGGCGGCGUGCCUAACACAUGCAAGUCGAGCGAAUGAAGUUCCUUCGGGGAUGGAUUUAGCGGCGGACGGGUGAGUAACACGUGGGCAACCUGCCUCAUAGAGGGGAUAGCCUUCCGAAAGGGAGAUUAAUACCGCAUAAGAUUGUAGUAUCGCAUGAUACAGCAAUUAAAGGAGCAAUCCGCUAUGAGAUGGGCCCGCGGCGCAUUAGCUAGUUGGUGAGGUAACGGCUCACCAAGGCGACGAUGCGUAGCCGACCUGAGAGGGUGAUCGGCCACAUUGGGACUGAGACACGGCCCAGACUCCUACGGGAGGCAGCAGUGGGGAAUAUUGCACAAUGGGGAAACCCUGAUGCAGCAACGCCGCGUGAGUGAUGACGGCCUUCGGGUUGUAAAGCUCUGUCUUCAGGGACGAUAAUGACGGUACCUGAGGAGGAAGCCACGGCUAACUACGUG
rnacentral:rRNA from 1 species